rnacentral:rRNA from 1 species
AUUCCAGAUUGAAUAUACCCGAUCUCGUCUGAUCUCGGAAGUCUAGCAAUCUCGGGCUUGGUUAGUACUUGGAUGGGUGACCGCUUGGGAAUACCAAGUGUGAUAAGCA